rnacentral:rRNA from 1 species
AGCAGGCGCGUAAAUUGCCCGAAUCCUGACACAGGGAGGUAGUGACAAGAAAUAACGAUACAGGGCUACAUCUAGUCUUGUAAUUGGAAUGAGUACAAUUUACAUCUCUUAACGAUGAUCAAUUGGAGGGCAAGUCUGGUGCCAGCAGCCGCGGUAAUUCCAGCUCCAAUAGCGUGUAUUAAAGUUGUUGCAGUUAGAACGCUCGUAGUCGGAUUUCGGGGCGUUCCGACCGGUCUGCCGAUGGGUAUGCACUGGCCGGAGUGUCCUUUUUGCCGGAGACCGUGCCUACUCUUAACUGAGCGGGGGCGGGAGACGGCAUUUUUACUUUGAAAAAAUCAGAGUGUUUCAAGCAGGCAGCUCGCUCUUGCAUGGAUUAGCAUGGGAUAAUGAAAUAGGACUUUGGUGCUAUUUUGUUGGUUUCGAACACCGAAGUAAUGAUGAGAAGGGACAGUCAGGGGCACUCGUAUUCCGCAGAGAGAGGUGAAAUUCUCAGACCCGCGGAAGACGAACCACUGCGAAAGCAUUUGCCAGGGAUGUUUUCACUGAUCAAGAACGAAAGUUAGGGGAUCGAAGAUGAUCAGAUACCGUCGUAGUCUUAACCAUAAACCAUGCCGACUAGGGAUUGGAGGAUGUUCACUGAUUGACUCCUUCAGCACCUUACGGGAAACUAAAGUCUUUGGGUUCCGGGGGGAGUAUGGUCGCAAGGCUGAAACUUAAAGGAAUUGACGGAAGGGCACCACCAGGUGUGGAGCCUGCGGCUUAAUUUGACUCAACACGGGGAAACUUACCAGGUCCAGACAUUGUGAGGAUUGACAGAUUGAGAGCUCUUUCAUGAUUUAAUGGGUGGUGGUGCAUGGCCGUUCUUAGUUGGUGGAGUGAUUUGUCUGGUUUAAUUCCGUUAACGAACGAGACCUUAGCCUGCUAAAUAGUGACGCGAACUCUUUGUUGGCGGUCCACUUCUUAGAGGGACAACUUGUCUUCAACUAGUGGAAGUUUGAGGCAAUAACAGGUCUGUGAUGCCCUUAGAUGUUCUGGGCCGCACGCGCGCUACACUGAUGCACUCAACGAGUCUCCACCUUGACCGAGAGGUCCGGGAAACCUUCGAACUUGCAUCGUGAUGGGGAUAGAUUAUUGCAACUAUUAAUCUUCAACGAGGAAUACCUAGUAGGCGCAUGUCAUCAGCGCACGUUGA